GUGCUUGCUUUGACAGCUCAUAUGCUAAAAUUGGAAUGAUACAGAGAAGAUUAGCAUGGCCCCUGUAUAAGGAUGACACACAAAUUCAUGGAAGCAUUCCAUAUUAAG
ensembl:snRNA U6 U6 spliceosomal RNA